UUUCCAAAAUAUCAGUCCCCUUUUUUUUUUCCGAUUCUUUUCCCAAAAGACGUUCCUUUUUUCAUCGAAGGUAAAACCGAAGUCCUUUUAUGUACUGUCGCCGAAAUUUUCUCCCUCUUCAAUAAACGGCGAAGAUUCGAUCAGAAGAACAGGGGACGACUAACUGCAAGGUAAGAAAGAACUAUAUCUUCAGAUUCUAAUAGUAGCAUCAUCAAGGGCGGAGUAGUCGAACGGUUUCAUCGCCAAUUCACCUUACAAAAACGGCGGCGUUUUCACCGGAUUUCAUUCUCUAUAGUUAGAUUCAGCUCUCGAAAUUUCCUCUAUUGCAUCGGAACCCUAGAUUGCUUUAUCAGUUCUGGAGUUAACUCAGGCCUCAGCUUUUAGUGGCAGAUUGCUUCUAGCAUUCUACUAUUUUGGUACUCCACUUCAUCGUGUAUCUGGAUUGUACCCAGCCUGAAUAUUAGCUUAUCUCUGUGAGCGGUCUCACGGAAUAUAUUGGCUAGGUUCGUCUGGCUUAAUGUUGAAGUGUUAAUGAGUAGCACAGGCAGUAUUGUGUUUGAAGGUGAUCAAGGCAAGUCAUUGCAAUCGCUGUUGUUGGGUUAUAAGACUUGUCAAUCUGUAUAAAAGUCGACUUAUUGGAUCUGGUGCAUUUCAGGAAUUUAUUUCGUUGAAGUUAUUCUCAGGGAAGUUCUUCCCAUGAGGUAGCUGGAGCUAUAAAAUAUCUUGUGGUUCACAAGCAAAAUGCUAUAUAAUUGGAAGAAGCCUCACAUUAUUUUCUCUGCAGUGCUUGAGGUUGUUUAUGUUGCAAUAUAACUAGCAAUUAUGGAACAACUAUCAGAGAAAAAGUUCCCUGUCAAUGCGAAAGAUUAUAAGUUAUAUGAAGAAGUUGGAGACGGUGUUAGUGCAACUGUGUAUCGGGCUCUGUGCAUUCCUCUUAAUGAGAUUGUUGCAAUCAAGGUUCUGGAUUUGGAAAA